CGAAAGCCUGACGGAGCAAUACCGCGUGCGGGAGGAAGGCCUUUGGGUCGUAAACCGCUUUUAACAGGGAAGAAGUAUCUGACGGUACCUGUUGAAUAAGCCUCGGCUAACUCCGUGCCAGCAGCCGCGGUAAGACGGAGGAGGCAAGCGUUAUCCGGAAUUAUUGGGCGUAAAGCGUCCGCAGGUGCCUUUCAAGUCUGCUGUUAAAGCCCAGGGCUCAAACUCUGUAUCACCAGUGGAAACUGAAAAGCUAGAGUACGUUAGGGAUAGAGGGAAUUCCCAGUGUAGCGGUGAAAUGCGUAGAUAUUGGGAAGAACACCAGUGGCGAAGGCGCUCUGCUGGGCCGUAACUGACACUCAUGGACGAAAGCUAGGUUAGCG
rnacentral:rRNA from 1 species